UUUUUUUUUUUUUUUUUUUUUUUUAAUGAGAGGUGGGAGAUGUAGAGUGUUUUGAAUGUGGUUUGGGCAGGGGGCUCACAGUGUGUGUAGCUGAGUGGUGGGAGGGAUGAAACUACACCUGGACAAGGAGUGGACAGGCCUUCUGUUGGCAGGAAGGCAGAGCCAGAUAGCCCUGGGGGCAGCACCCAUGGCUUCAGCAGUGGCUGAGUGGUUUCUCAGGCCUGAGAACAACUCAGACACACCUUCAGGGCUUUAGGGGGCUCAGCAGCAGACAGAGCAAGAGAGUAGAGGGAACUAACUGGCUGCAGAGAUGUCUGUAUGUAAGCAUAUGUGAGCAUCAUAUGGUGACUCUGGAUAUUGUUUGUGUUUGUGUGUAAACUAAGUAGACCUGGGGUCGCUGCAGUUUUUGGUAGAGCCAAAGCCAGGGACAUAGGCCUUGUUAAUAAACUUAUGAUCCAGCUUUCACUCCUCUCCUGGAAAGCCUAACCAGAGUGGCUGAGGUUAUGGCUGAUACCAGUUCUGCUAAAUUAUUACCCACUGGUCAGAAAUCCUUUCAAUUAAGCAAUUGGAAUAACAUGGUAAAAAUAAUUUCUAGAAUGGUAUAAGUUUGUUUAAAAGAAAUAUAUUCAAAUCAUAUAAUUAAUUGCAUAAUGGGUAGAGUUUUUGAAGUGUUUUUCUCAAAUAAACUUCACAGGGAUGCAUCCAUGUAUUUAUGUAUGUGUGUGUGUGUGUGUGUGUGUGUGUGUGUGUCUGGUUAUAUAUCAAUUAAACCACUAAGCAAAGAGCAAAGAUAUUUGUUUCUCUUUAAAGUUUUCUAUUAUUAGUGAUUUUUAAGGAAAAAAAUUGAACAGUAAGCUUUUAUGACAUGGUAGGUUUUUUGAGGUGGUGGUGGUGGUGUUAGAACUAGUCUCAAGGGUGCCUGGCUGGUUCAGUCAGUAGAGCAUGGGACUCUUGAUCACAAGGUUGCAGGUUCCAGCACUAUGUUGGGUGCAAGAUUACUUAAAAAUAAAAUCUUAAAAAAAUUAAAAAAAAAAAAGAACUAACCUCAAAAUAAAGCAUCUCUGACACUAUUUUCAACUGGAACAAGAGUUUAAAAUCUGCUUAUGAAAUUGAUUCCAGAAAAAGAACAUAUUAAAUAAGUUAUGGAAAGCCAAAAAUAUUUCACUUUUGCUCACAGUCUAAAUAUUUACAAGGCAUUUAUCAAUAUGAGUUGCAUGACUGUUAAGUCUCUAAUUAAACUGCUAUUUCCAGGCCUUAACUACAAUGAAAAUUCUAUAAAGAAUGCUAUUAGCCAGUUAUCAACCUAUUUUAAUCACAAUUUGAAUUAAUACAGGAAAACAAUAUCCAAGAAGAGGGCAUCAUUUUGACUCAAAUGGUAGGUAGGUUUUAAAUUUCACACUAGAUGUUAAGUGCUAGAUAGACAAGGACCAUUUCUCUUUUUCUUUACAGGGUCUCAGAACACUUGAUAGUGCUCUGCAGAAUCAGUAUUCCAUAAAUCCUACAGUCUGACUUCAAAGAGUCUCUUAAAAAACCAUAAAAAUGUCAUUUAAUUCAAGUUCCAGGUUAGAACAUCCUAGGAGGCUCCCUGCCCAGUAAUAAUAAACUCAUCAAAUAAUCAUGCCAACAAUUGGACAUGCUCACAAGCCUCACGUAAAGGGAUCAGUGUUGUUCAAUUUGCAGAGAGGAAAUCUCUGGCUUGCUGUCAAAAAUCAAACGUGUGGACACUGUGAUUCAGCACUGUCAUAGUGUCAGUCCAAAAACAAAAAAUGAAAAAUAAACGAUGUUAAAAAGAUUAAUUUGUCAUUAAAUGUAAGGAACACAUCCAACAGUCACCGCGGCAUAUUCUCUAUGGGUGCCCGCAAACCAGCCUACCCAUCUGAGAUUCUAGAAUCAUACAUACUUAUGUUUGGAUCACUGGUUCAGGCUCCUCUCCAGGAAAAACUGAGAGCAAGAACCUCUAAAUAGGAACAUUAAAAACAUUUACUCAAAAUUACUUUAAGUACCUGAUAUGCAACACUUAUUGAUCUAGUUACUGGGGCUCAAAUGGUGAGCAAAAGAGAUCCUUGAUUUUCAAGAGAUUCAAGAAGGCCCAGGGAAAAGAAGUAUCAUAUACUUUGAAGAUAACUGAAUAUAAAUUAUGAAGCAGUUAGCUGACUCAGAAAUAUGCACUUAGUGCUAGAAAUAACAUAUGGUCACAACUGUAGCCUGGUUCUGCUACAAGUCACCAGCUUCAUCUCACCAUAGGAGGUGGAAAGCCCUAGUGAGUGUCCUCUAAUGUCUAUUGGGGUUCUAACAUUUAUUUGACUUUUCCUCUUUUUAAAAAAAAUUAUCUCUUUCCUAUUAAGUCUCAUUGCUGAUUUUCUGGUCUUGGACUUACUCAGGCAUCACCAACUAAAUAUGAUUUCAAAAUUUUUAUUUAGGAAGUUUUCAAGCAUGCACAUAGUUAAAAACAUCAUGAUUCAAUGAGUGACUCAUUUAACAACAAAUCUCAUUAAUUUGUUACUGAGCUUCAAAAAUUGUCAACAUUUUGCUAGUCUUGUUUCAUCUAUCUCUACACCCUUUCUAAAAAGGCAAUUUUAUUUCCAUUGUUUGAGAUAUUUUGAUUUUUAAUUGCUACUGAUAAAUAAAAGAGUUGUCAUCCAUGGUGCUAAUGCCCAGAAAAGAAUGGGCAUUUGCUAAAUGAAUGACUGACUGUCUUCAAUAAAAGACUCUGUUUUGAGGGUUUUCAAGCUAUCUAGGGUAGGAAAGAAAAUAGACAUUCUGAGUUCAGUGUUAGAUUGUAAGGUUUAGGAGAAUUCAUCUAUAGACAGGCAAACUUUAAGUUUUCCUGUCCUGUUUCCUACCUACAGCCCAGUAAAAGGGGGUAUUCAAACACUAACACAGGGAAAAAGCAUAGCGUGGUAGGAGAAUUAAAGGUAAAGUUCAUCUCUCUUGAUGCUCUGUGAACACUUAAUUAAAACAAAUAUUGUUCUAAAAUACGCAGUUACUUUCCAAGGUCAUACUGGGUGCCAUUUUAAUGAAGAUGCACUUGCUCAAACGAAUUUGCUUUAUUAUGUAUUUUAAUUGUACCCCAUAUGCACAUGGUAUCUAAAGUACAGUUCUAGAAUCAGAGAAUAAAGGAAAACAAGUCUCAAAAAAAAAAUACUGAACGAAACAGACAUGUUCUCUCGUGAGUUACAUAAUGAACUGCCAUCACAGCAAUUUAUUGAAUCUAGGUUCAGUCUUAACUUCCUCAAAAAAUUGCCAGUGGAGAAGCAAAACUUCAAUUGUGGAUAAUACAUAACUAAGAAAAGAACUUAAAAUGAUAUUAAUUGAAAAAUAAAAAGGUAGUGUCACCCAGGGAUGACAAAUCAGGAGACCUAAUCCUAUCCUGGCUUUCUAUCAAGACUCCAAAUGAAUAAAGUUAUAAUCUCAAUCUUUACUUUUACCUAUCAAGCAAAACCAAAGUAAAAUCCAAAUUGUUUGAAUUAUACAAGAAUUCAUCAAAUGAUAUUCCAGUAAUAUGGUAUGGCUAGAAGAGGAUUGAUUUGGGAAUCAGAAAAUCUGUGUGAUCCUGGACAGAUCACAACCUGUCUGGGCCUCAGUGUCAUGACUGUAUAAUGGGAACAAACUACCACAUCCAAAGUUCUCUUUAAUGUUUCAGAGUCAUAGAAAUUGAUCUUGUGUGGUUCUUUGAUAUAUUAAAACAGAUAAGAGUGAAUCAAUUCUUGUUAGGAAACAAAGGCAAGAGAAGAGCUCAGAGCCUCAACUGCUCAGCAUCCCUCCCAUGCCCAGGUCUCUUCGGAACCACAGGCUUUUAGAUUCCCUAACCUAGAAUUCCUGAAGAUUGAUCAACUUUAGGGAUGCUUGGGUGGCUCUGUGGUUUAGUCUGCCUUUGGCCCAGGCCAUGAUCCUGGAGUCCUGGGAUUGAGUCCCACAUCAAGCUCCAUGCAUGGA
rnacentral:lncRNA from 1 species